UACGAAGGUGGCAAGCGUUGUUCGGUAUCACUGGGCUUAAAGGGUGUGUAGGCGGAAGGGAAAGCGUCCUGUGAAAUCCCCCGGCUUAACCGGGGAAUUGCUCGACGAACUACCUUUCUUGAGGCAAGUAGGGGUGCAUGGAACUCUUGGUGGAGCGGUGGAAUGCGUAGAUAUCAAGAGGAACGCCAGCGGUGAAAACGGUGCACUGGGCUUGUCCUGACGCUGAGACACGAAAGCGUGGGGAGCGAACGGGAUUAGAUACCCCGGUA
rnacentral:rRNA from 1 species